ACACGUCUACAUUAGAUACCCGGGUAGUCCCAGCCGUAAACGAUGCGCGUUAGGUGUAUCGGUGACCACGAGUUACCGAGGUGCCGAAGGGAAACCGUGAAACGUGCCGCCUGGGAAGUACGGUCGCAAGGCUGAAACUUAAAGGAAUUGGCGGGGGAGCACCACAACAGGUGGAGCCUGCGGUUUAAUUGGACUCAACGCCGGGAAGCUCACCGGAUAGGACAGCAGAAUGAUUGCCGGGCUGAAGACCCUGCAUGACUAGCUG
rnacentral:rRNA from 1 species